rnacentral:sRNA from 1 species
UAAAGGGCAUGCGCCCUUGGUGAUCUUUGACCAGAAGUUCCCUCCAGUGCUUGGACUUGAACUCCAUUUCCAUAUCACCACCCAAGAAGAGGACCCAUACAACAAUACACUGCGGACAAACAAUUGUGAAGCUGUUAUGAUCUAUUGGAUGCUAUUUUAAGCCGGUGGGCACUAACCUUUGCCAAAGAGAUGGUUUCCUGUGAAAGCUUGGUGGCCCAUUGGAACCUUCCCCUGUCCCAAGAAAGCCUGAAGAGGAUGUUUAAUGCUAAUGAUACUGGGACUUUUUUUUUUGUCCAGCGUAAAGAUCAAACCCAGGGGCUUGCGUGUGUUACACAGGCACACUCGCAUUAAACACCAGCAGAAAAUGUUCUUGUCUGUGCUCCCACAGUGUGGAGCAGGCAACACUCCCAGCCAAGUUCUAAUUUUGACUUUGCCUCUAUUAGCUGAGUAUCUAGCCCGAUGAAAAGCAGUCACUAAAUUAUGUCUCUUGCUUUUCUGGAUUCCGUGUAGUCUAUGUAGUAAUUGAAUUCGUAACUGAGCUCUCAGCAUGGAGUAUAGCAGAUGGUGAACAUCCAGGAGGCAAAGGAGUGGAUCAAGAGAACAGCGGACCCUCCUCACAAGAAAUCAUCUGCAUGUCGUAGGACCCCUGAGCCACGAGAGGAAGGAUCCAAUAAAGACAUCUCAGGCCCAGAUCCAGGACUUUGAAUUGGCCCAUCCAAAAUUUCCUCCAUCAGUGAACUGCUGGAGUGCAUGAAGAGGCUGGGUUCUACAGAUUCAAAACUACAGGAUCUCCAUGACACAGGGCAACAACAAGAAAACCUCAGUGAGGUUCCACUAUUGAUGAGUAGAGAAGCCAGAGGCCUCGUACCAGACCAACAGGGUGUUGCAAUGAACAUUUUCGAGCAAAGAAAUGUGGUCAAAAGAUAGAGUGUGAGACACACUAUGACAUGCUAUACCUUCUACAACAAGAAUUUUUUUCUCUGUUGGGGGCGAGGUUGCAAGGGUGGA